rnacentral:rRNA from 1 species
GACGAACGCUGGCGGCGUGCUUAACACAUGCAAGUCGAACGGAAAGGCCCUGCUUGCAGGGUACUCGAGUGGCGAACGGGUGAGUAACACGUGGGUGAUCUGCCCUGCACUUCGGGAUAAGCCUGGGCAACUGGGUCUAAUACCGGAUAGGAGCCAUUUUUAGUGUGAUGGUUGGAAUGUUUUUUCGGUGUAGGAUGAGCUCGCGGCCUAUCAGCUUGUUGGUGGGGUAAUGGCCUACCAAGGCGGCGACGGGUAGCCGGCCUGUGAGGGUGGACGGCCACAUUGAGACUUAGAUACGGCCCAGGCUCCUACUGGUGGCAGCAGUGGGGAAGAUUGCACAAGGGGCGCAAGCCUGGUGCAGCGACGCCGCGGGGGGGAUGGCGGCCUUCGGGUUGUAAACUCCUUUCGCUAGGGACGAAGCUUUUUGUGACGGUACCUAGAUAAGAAGCACCGGCUAACUACGUG